AUGCCCCAUUGCCCAGGCAGAGAAGACAGAUGAUUGAGAAGAGAACAUGGAAAGAAGGGAAGACAGAAGGAUGACCCCUAAGGACCUCUUCUGGAUCUGAAGUGUCAUAAAUCUCUAUUAAUACAAAGAAAGAAAAUAAAAGGGACAUCCCAAUUCACUCAUGAAUAUGUCAAGAUUACACAAGAAUGACGCUAACAAAUCAAACCACCAUCCACUAUUUAAACUAUUCAUCCUGAGUGCAAAUGAAAAAUU